ensembl:lncRNA
GGGAGAUCUAGCUUUGCACAUGAGGACAUUCAAUUCUCCAAUUUUGUCUCUCCAGUUUUGCAUAACAACCCAAAAUUUGCACAUGUAUUUAUUAUACAGCAACGGACCUCUGCUUAGACCAAGCCAUACCUUCAGCCUUUUAACUGUGUUUGGAGUUUCAAAUUUCUUCAGUGAAAACACACUUACAGAUUUUCAGGUCAAAUUUACAAUGUUCUGCCUUCUCUAGAAUUGUAAUUCUCCUAAUCCUCACUGCUUUCACAGAUCUCCCAUGUCACUUUAAACACAAUUAUGCAGUUCAUGCAGUUACCAUGGCCGUUCUCAGCAUGAACAUUGGUCUGCCAUAAAAGAUUGCAUCUUCUCUUGUAGUUAAAUUCUUCUGGAAAGUGUCCAUAUGUUGGUAAACAAAAAAAAUGAUUUCCUUUUUGGUUCUUAAAUUAUUUGAAAUUAAAUUGUUCAAUACAAAAAUAAUAGCAAUAUAGUUUACUGAAUAUAUGUGUGUAUGUACAGAUAUAUGUAUAUCAACAGUAGGUUGUUAUAUGUAACAAGAAGAAAUGUAAAUUAAUAUUUUUGUAAGGUUUGUAAGAUUCUUACAAUAUACAUAGAAGCGGUACUGUGUGAACUCAAGAUAGACUGUAAUACAUUGAGUAUAUGUAUUUUAACUGACAGAGUAACUAAAUACAAAGAAUACCUUAAAAAAACAAGGUAAAUUUACAAGAAAUUACUAAAAAUAAUAAACUUAGGUAGAAAGAAGAGGUAUAGUCUGAAGAAGCUAGCAGACAAAAGGAAGAUAGAUACAUGAUAAUGAUACAGGAGUUAAGAAGAAAUUACUUAGGCAGAUAGGGUAAGGAAAUCCUCAGUAAGGUUUUCCUUUUUAUUGAAAAGCGACCCCAAAUUAUUUUUCUUUCUAACAAAGAGCAGCCUGUAAAACCGAGCCACAGACAUAGAUGCUGGCAGUUGCAACAGGCUCCAUCUUCCCUUCUCUUUGUCAGCCACGGGUACAGUAAGGAACAGACAAGAUGGAAGCCGGCCAAGGGGGAAGUUCAUUUGCAUAAGAUUGGCGUGGGGAGGCCAGCCUUCCUGGCGCUAUGUAAAGGUCAUACCAGAUCAAACCAAUCUUUGAGCUCUGUGUAAAUCAGACACUGCCUCCUAAAGCCUGACCAUGAAAUCUGGUGCAUCCCCCCACUGGGAGGGGGGAGCCUUUUCUUCUUGGAAGUCGCCUCUCUCACUAGAGAGAGAGCUGUUUUCCUUUUUCUUUCUCUCUCUUUCUUUUGCCUAUGAAACCUCUACUCCUAAACUCCUUGUGUGUGUCCAUGUCUUACAUUUUCUGGAAACGAGACGGCAAACACCAGGUAUUUAUCCCAGGCAAGGUAACCACUUCAAUAAGAUGGUAGAUUUAAACCCAAGCAGAUCAAUAUUUACAUUAAAAUAAAGGGAUUCUCCGCCGGGUGCGGUGGCUCAUACCUGUAGACCCAGCACUUUAAGAGGCUGAAGCAGCGGAUGGCUGCAGCUCAGGAGUUUGGAGGCCAGCCUGGGCAACACAGUGGAAACCCCAUCUCUACAAGAAAUAUAAAAAUUCGCUGGACAUGGUGAUAUGCACCUACAGUUCCAACUACUCUGGGAGCCAAGGUGGGAGGAUUGCUUGAACCCAGGAGGCAGAGGUUGCAGUAAGCAGAGAUUGAGCCACUGAACUCCAGCCUAGGUGACAGAGCAAGACCCUGUCUCAAAAAAAAAAAAAAAAAAAA